UGACUGGCUCCUACCACUCCACGAAAAUAAAACGUAAUAAAAGCUGAUAACUGCUGCAUACCGAUUCAAAAGCAACUGAAGAUCUAACGUCCUGCAGUAGUACAACAUUCCUCUCUUUACCCAAGGACAAUUUUCAGUUUCGAGCAAUUGCAGUAAUGGCAUCAAAGACUGUUAUCAGUAUGCUACUUCUACUCGCUGUUGUAGUUACAGCCAGUGCUUCUCUGGAAACUCAAGGCGAUUCUGCGGUUGUCCGCGAUAUCCUCCUUAGCGAAACCGACUUUCAGGAGCCUGCGCCAGAUAUGCUGAAUGUGGAGGAGACUCAAUUUAAAUUUAAGUGCAGGAUAGGCGGUAUAGUAUUCAACUGCUAAACAAAAUGCUAUUGAGCGAUUUGUCGUGGUCGAGCGACAAACUACAACAUCAACAAUCAUCAAAACCGACAACCUGCAAAACCGACAACCCCGGAGGCUGAUGAUUAUACUAAUAAGAGUUAUAAUAACGUUAGGUUCGUAAUUUAUGAACCAGAGCUAAAUAAUACAGACUUCCAAUAGAAAAUCUAUUUAUUCAGAUGGUCAUAUCUCAGCCGAUACUUAUUC